rnacentral:lncRNA from 1 species
GCUGUCCUUGGAAUUAUUGUAUGGUUAGAAACCUACAUCUACUUAAUCUACAGAACAUUCUUUUAGUACUUUACUCUAGUGGAUAAAUGAAUUGAUUAGGUAUAAAGAGAAGAAACCCCAAUAAAGUGGGGUUUAAACCUACAAAAACUGGGUAGAGGGACUGCGUGUGCAUAUGCAAUGAAGAUGCAUCUUCAACCUAUUAAUAUACUUACUGAAAAGAAAGUUCUUAAUAUGGAUGAUGGUACUUAUGCCAGAAAUGAAACAUUGCAUUAAGGUAUUCAUCUGGUAAGAGAAAGAAGUUUAUACGGUUGUGUCAUUUGUUCUUUGUUGUUCUGUUUCAGAAUGUCUUUCCAAGGAAAAUAUUUUACAGUACAGCCACUGAUGCUAGGUGGUUAUUUAGGGGGUGGUUAUUUAGUUUUCUUUGUUUUUGGGGGGGAUGGGGUAUUUAUUAAACAGGCUGUUGAGGACUCUGGCAUGCUGCUGUUAUGAUGUGUUUGUCUCUGUUUCUACUCAGCUCAGCCUGAAUUAACCACUCAGUUGUAAUUUACCUUGCAUGGAAGAGACUGUCUGAGCUCAUAGGAGAACUAAAAUAAAACUAAACAAAUGCUGAGUAAAAAUCAAACUGAACAAAUGGUUUGACACUGAUUUACUAACUGUGGAAUGUAUCAGUGAAUGAGAACAGUCUUGAUUAUUAAAUAUAACAUAAAACCAUCUGUGAAUAAGUGGGUAAAUUUUUAACAAGCUGAACUAAGCAAUGUGAGUAUUAAUUGUAGGUGAGGAUCCUGAGCACAUGGGGAUGCUUGAAUUAAUAUGAAGAUCAAUAUUAAAAGGGCAAAUAGGCAGCUGAAAUUCUGGGUUUACUGCUUUUUAAAAUCAACUAAUCAGUAACCUGCAUAUGUAUCUAAACUUACACUGUGGGAUCUCAAAAAAGCAGAUUUUUUUUUUCUCCCUAAGGUUGUCUGUGCCUUUCAGACCCAUAAGUGGAAAACAUCUCAACAAACAGUGGCCUUCAGAACCCUUUUUUUACCCUUGUUUUCAAACAGUAUCUAUUGAGUAUUUUGUUUUAUUUUCACAUGGUAAGCUUGGGGCAGGAGAAGUUGCAAGAAAUUUCCAGCUCUUGUGUUCUUUAAAAGAAUGGCAGUAUCUAAAUAGGAGUAGCAUUAGUGAUGAUACCUACAAGUAGUAGUUUUGCUCAGCUGUGUAGUUAGGGUAGAACAUGGUGCAUUACAUUUGUGUUGCUGACUGAAGCAAGGCUGCAUCCCCCUGAGAUAUUUCCUAUGGUCAAUACCCUUUUGCUGUUAAAUGGCACAACUAGCUGACCAGACUUUCCUUCUAACUUCAGUACUGUGACUCCAUUAAUUAACUUGUUACAUUUUAUCUUUUAAUAAAACAAUAGAACUCCAACACAGUCAUCAGUAUAAUAAGUUUGAGGAUUGAAUCUACUGAGGAUUGAAUUCAUCCUUCAUGUGCUGAAACAGCAGUACAGAUAAAUGAGACUGCUUAAUGGACUCUCUGGAUGCAGCUGAAUUGUUUGUUUGUUUGUUUCAUUUUAUUUUCUUGUCUGAAGAGAUUCCACCACCAGUGUGAUGAUACUACUUGUGUGACUAAAUUCAUUCAUGAGUGUAUCUGUUGUCAGUCCUUGAGCAACCUCCAAGUGGUACUUUGAAACUUAAGUCUUCAGCCCUUCACUUCUCUGCUCCCUUCCCUAUCAACUCCAACUGCACUGCAGGCCUUUGCGUGGACUAUCUCACAUCACCCUUUCAAAUUUCACAAGCUCUAGCAUUGUUCGAGAAAGUUGGUAUAAAAAAUCCUGCAACUUCAUAGGUAACUUCAAAUGUUUAGCUAAAAUUUUCAGAGUUUUGGUACUUUAUACAACAAACUGCAAAAAGUGAAUGGUGCACUAUGGGACUUUGUAACGGUCUUACUAUUCUUCCAGCUGCUGUGAAUUAUCUAUCAUAUGUCUGUGGUUGCCAAAGAUGUUUUGUUUUAGUCACCUUUGUUCUGAAACACCCUAGAAGUUCUUCAAACACUAGCUCAAAAUGUAUUAUCAGUAAGAAACAUUGCCACUGGUUUGGCAAUGAAAAGGUUAUUGAUAUGGUAAACAGAGCACUAUUGAAUCGAUCAAUCAGAAAGCUUAAAAGUUUGGUGUGACUUCUGGGCAUUGUAGUCAAUUUGCCUAUUAUAAGUAUUUAAGACACCAAGUCCUGUAACUGUACAUUUAAAGAGGUAGAAGUAAGUAGAUGUUUUGGUUAAGUCCAUGUUUCUUGUUCUCACGCUUUUGUGUUUGUUCUGAAAGACAAACUUGAUACAGCACACUAUUCACAGGACAGAUUUGUAGUUCUCAGUAACUGAUAACUCUUAAAACUACUCCAUACGAUAUACUUUUCUUGAUCAAUACUGUAUAUAUUCUGUUGUCCAAUUUAAGGGUAUUUUUAGUGAUUAUUUGUUAAACUUUUGAAAGUUGAAGCUAACAUAGUUUUCCUUAAGGAGGGUCCACUCCAAAUUAAAUAUCAGUGAUUUAGUUCUUGUUCUCAUUUAGUAUAUCUCAGGGACCAAAAUCUCCUUCUCAGUUUCCAUGUCUGUGGUUUUAACAGCAAGUUGUCACAAAAUUUGCAGAGACAACCCAAAACCCUGGCUUUGGGAUAGUAAACACUUGGCACCUGAAACUGGCCAUUGGAGUUUGCAGGCAACAGAAGCGAAAAAUGAGUUGUGUACACUUGGAAAACUUUAAAUCCCCUGCAGGUAAAGGAGUGAGGCAAUAAUCUUCAGCUUUCAUGUUUGCACCAACAGCGUGAUAAAUGCCAGCCUUAUUGGAUAGGCCAGAGGAAAAGCGUUCUUGUGCAGUGUCACUGGAUCGAUUUAGAAUGAGAGCAAAGUUCAAUGUGGGGACAAUGUGGAGAAUUUCAAAACAAAUUACAAAGAUGAGUUUAAAUGCACUAGGAGUUAAAGGGAGUGUAUAAGUGUGUGUGUGUCUGUGUUCUUAGAAAUGUUUGUCUUUGAAAAAAUACUCUUUAAAAAGUUUUUCUUCAUUAAAUUACAACUAGGAUCUUAGCUUUUAAAAAAGUGUUAAAUAUGUGCGUGUCUGAAUCAAUGGAUUGCACAGAUAUUUAGGUCUGUACAAUAUAUUUAAUAUCAAAUGCAUAUUAAUUGCCUUUUUAUUAUCAAGUGCAAUGACCUUUGAAAAUGUGAUUUUUAAUUAAGUUAGAGAAGGAGCAUUUUUCCUUCUGUGGUUGCAUGGGGUUUUUGUGCACAGGUGAAAAUAUAACACCAACAUUCGAAUCCCUCAUCUUGUGUAAGUACUCAAAUGUGAGGUGUAGAAACUAAAAUUUCUGGGUUUUCCAGUUUGUACUGGGGAGGUGAAGAAAGAGUGGAGAGUGGACAUGAAUCUAUAGGAAAAUCGUUAUACUUCUUACCUUUCUCUGAGCUGUCACCGAUUCGGUCUUACACCAAAGAACAAGAAUAACAACAACCUUUGGAGCACACAGGGUGAGGGCAGAACACGUUUCAAACACUGGACUUCUGAGUAUGACUCCUUGCCAAAAACACUGAAGUACUGAACGUGGCAAUGAUUAAUGCUGAAGUAUUGCCUUUGACAGUGAUGACUCUGGCAGGGAGAAAGGUAGCACAUAAUAAGUAGAAGGAGGACUUUUUGCUGCUUUUCUGAUGUAUCCUUUACUGGGAAACAUAAUUCCUAUUACUUUUUCACUGAGUAAAUAUCAUAAUUUUAUUUUCAAUUGCUGUUGCAAAUAUUUUUUAAGAAUUUCACACCGGUGUUAACUUUCUACCAACAGUUGAAUGAUACUGUAAAUUGUGUGUUGGGGGUUUGGGGGAGCAAACUGUUGCAAGUUAGCUUUUUGUGAAGCUGUGAUUUAUUUUUUUCUAUAAAUUGCCAGA